UUGAGGGAGGGGGAGGGGAGGAGCGCGGCGGGGCUGGGGCCCUGGUAAGGCCCGAGCCUGGGCCCCGUUCCGAGCCGCAGAGCAGCCACCGCGGCGCGGUCCCCGCCCCGGCUCGCCUGCCCGCCGCAGUUUUUUCCUCCCAGAUGCGGAGGCUGCACCGCGGUCCAGGGCAGGGUGAGCGCCAGGCAGCGGGACACCAGGCAGGGGCAGGUCCCACGGCGACCUGGGACUGGGGCUUCUGGGACCGGACCCCCUGUGGGACUCAGGUUUGUGGGGCUUUUGCCGUUUCUCCUUUAUAGGGAAGUGAGGGCAGUGGAGACUUCUUGCUCAGUGACGGACUUGACAGUCUUAGAGACUAAAUGCUGGACGUCAGGUUUAAGAGGCAUUAAAAACGUGUGAUUGUACAGCUUUUAUCCCCUUACGGGGAUUUUACCUCCUUUGUAACUUCUCUGAGCAAUGCUCAGAGGACAGAGGCGCAGCGUGGCCUAAGGGGCGCUUAAUUGUUCUGGCUUCCAUUUCUUCCCUUGGAGAGGUCAGCCUUUUGCAGUGGAGAUAGCUCCCUAGCACGUCAUUCAUCGGAGUGUGCUUCAGACCAGGGGCUGGAUGGGACUUAAUGCUUCCAGUCUUGUCUUGCACCUACUGGAUGUGUGAUCUUAGGUAGCCCUGUGCCUCAGUUUCCUCUUCUGUGAAAAUGGGACUGAUUGCUGUCUAUCCCAUAAGGUUGUUCUAAUAAACGAGUGAAUCCAUCCAUGUUGAACAGUUACAACUAAGCUUAUCAUAUAGUGAAUCUGGAGCGACGACCAGAUUGAGCAAGUAAGUGGCCCCCAAACAUCCAGCUUUGCAGCCAAGAACCAAAGACAGCUCUUAAUUUCAGCCCUAGGUCCUUGGCAGUUCCCGCCGGUGACUCCACAGUAAAAUGGAAAUUCCUAAUUAAGUGACUCUAUGGUGAAGCAUGCAUGUAUCAUCACCUUAUCUCGAAAAAGAUUUCCAUCAGCUGCACCUUUUCCCGCUCUCGGUCUCGGAGGGGUUAACCCGGCCAGGCUUUUUCUCGCCCGCCUCAGUUGUGUUGCAAUGUUAUUUCUUACCAGGUGACAGACAGGGCCUCUCCCCCUCUCGGGUUUGUCCUCUAUUCCAUGGAGGCAGCACUUGCGAGGCCCUCGGACCUUUCGGGGAGCCCACAUCCUCCGGGGCUAUGUGUCAGGGGUGUGUGUGAGGGCAUUCCUCGUUGUCAUCCCGAGUGUCUCCUAACAUGCCCUGCCUAGUACAGCCGCCAUAGUCAUUACUGGGAGUGUCUGCACAGUGAGUCCCCCCAGGGAGCCCUGACAUUGAUGUAAUGCUCACCCCCCUCCCGCCCCCGUGUGUUCAGAGCAACUGCAAAGCUCCGGGUAAUAAUGGUGAAGGAAAUUGAUUUCAUCCUCUCCCCGCCCCCUUUCUUCACACAUCAGAAAGGAGGGAUCCUAAUGGGCCCUGAUGCUAUCUGGGUGAUUGGGCAGAAAAGGGCAGCCCGGCUUGUCAGCGGUGAGUUCAGAGCUGCUGGGCACGUGGCCGUUUGUUUUGGGCAGGGUUUUACUUACCACGGUUUUGGGGCCCCAACUUCCCUUACGAUAAAAAGAGGUAAUAGGGGGAUGUACUGACAGAAGCCGGAAGGAGAGACACAGCCAGGCUUCCCGGCUCUGGCUCUGUCCCUCUUUCCCUCCCUCCGCUUUCUCUCCCUGCUCUUGCCCCCUCUCUGCUCUGUGCCAUCCCUGCCCACGGUCUCCUUCUGCUAAGUCCUAGGCUCUGCCCUGAAAUGUUCCUGGUGUCUGCGGCCCCGGCCCCUGUACGGCGGGGCAGCUGUCAAAACAGUCCUUCUUGUUUCACAGUUUCACUUUCCACCGUUCAUCUAUUCCGGAUUUUAGCUUUUCCAGAAGAGGAAUCUGACUGGCAGGCUUCACCGGGUCCUGGGUCAACAGCCCAGCGGUGAAUGGGCUGCCCAGGCAGCAAGUGCCCACCUGAAGAGAAAAGAGUCCUUAAGACUAAGGCCUGGGAAGCUUCUCUUUAUUUCCAACUGGACGUGAACACGAAGGACUUUUCAUUUGCCGCUGACUCUGGUUACCAACCCUGCGUAACACAACAUCCCCAAAGCUAGAGGCAUGAGACGGCCGUUCCUACCUGCGUUUGAUCAUGGGUUCUGGGGGUCAGCGGCUCUUCAUUCUGGCCUCAAGCAGGAGAAGGAUCAUGGCUACGUCUCCAAUUACCUCCUGGAGCCCGACAAGGAACCCGUAAGGUCUAUUUCUCCAAGUUCACUGCCUACAGGGAUGACUCCAGGAGGCUUAUUCUAAGCUCAGAUUCCUGGGUCCUACUCCCAGAGACUCGAAAUUCACUUGCCUUGCAGUGGGGUCCAGGAAUCUGCCUUUUGAAACAGCUUCCUUCCGUAAUACAGCUACAAGGACCGCGUGGACAGCACCCCGCUCAGCCGCUCAACCAUAAAUUCCAAAGGGACCAGGGACAAAGUCUUCCUGAUAGGAUGUUCUGGCCCCGAGUCCCGGCUCUUGCGACUUUGCGGCCACCUGACUUUGGACAGUUUCCUUUUUCUGGCCUCAACUUUCUUGUCUGUACGCUCAGGAGGUUGAGGUAGAGCCAUGUUUUCAAACUGGGCUCUGUCAUACCUCAGGGGGAUUGCACCUUGGCUACCCACCUCCAUUAAUCCAUAUAGCAAAUAUUCGUGGCACGGGUGGAUACCGGGGGUGUUACAGGAUCAGCGAUUAAUUAUCAUGAUGGGCGUUCUUUCCAAAGAAGGUGCAACAAAGGGUAAGAGGGCGCUCACAAAGAUGGCUUACGUUGUGCGUGUCCUUCCGCUUGAAUUGCCGUUUGGACAAACUGUUCCCGGGAUUGAAACUGCUGGCUUAGAUCAUCUUAAGGGUCCUUGCGGCAGGAAACCUUUUGUUCUGUGACGUUUCUUCGAUGAUUUGAUUUCUGAGCAACGUCAAAACAAGCAGAAUGCAGUUACUGGGUGUGAAAUCCGUCAGGGCCCCCCAGGUUAACCCUUUCGUUCCGGAAAAGAAACUUCAGGCUCCAGCACCUUAACCUGGGAAACUGAGUGAAAGGCAGACUGGGAAGCAAGCAGCCUGCCUGCUUGUGGGGGAAAAAGCAGGCGGGGCCGGGGGCGGGGGGCUCUGGACCCACGAGCCUUCCGGUUUUUGUCUGCAGAAUGGGCAGAUGGUACCUGGCCCCCAGAGUUGUUUUAAGGAGACAGGUUAUAUAUACAAAAUUAGUAGUUCGGUGCCAGAUACUUAGUAAGCAUUCAAUAAAUGAUGGCCAUUAUUAAUUUAAGUAUCUUUCUUAUGCAUAUUAUACUUGUCAACAUUCCUGCAAAUGUUUUAUAGAUGAGAAUGGAAAAGUACUCAGCACAGGAGCUGCCAAAUAUCAGGGUUCUGCCAGGCCAACUGCAUCUCUGGGGGAAGAAAGCCCUGUAAUUCUCUCUUCUUGAAACUACAUGCCCAUGGUGGCGGCCUUGAAAUUCUCAGUGUCCCUCUGCCCCAUGCCCUCCCCCCAGCGCCCUCCCCCCCCCCCCCCCCCCGCCAAAGGAGAGCAAGUUACUUUUCUCAGUAGAAAGCAAGCCAACACCCAAAUUUGGGAUAGGUUUCUACAUUGAGGUAGAAUAAAGAUGAUGCCGUAAUGUUGUGCCGUAAAUGUUGCGGAGAAAUUACAAAGAAGCCCUGAAAUCAUUCCUUUGUAUUUUUUGUAGUUGAACGCCCUAACUUUCCUUGAGACCAAACAUGCGUGCAUCUUUUAUUCUCUCUCUGGCCGGAUCCUUAAAACAGUACAGAGACUGAACACGGUUGGGAACACCUCUAUCACUUAGUUUAUGGGGUGCGACUCCACGGCUGAGCUUGGGGAAAACAUGUGGCCACAGCUUCCUUAUGUCUAAACUGAGGAUAACGAUAGACUUCACCCUCUAGGAUAAAUAGGGUGGUUAUUAGCCAUGCACACAGUAAGUGCACAGUACGUUAACUAUUGUUAUUUUCGCGUCUAUUGAUUUACUCGGUAUUUUGGUGCUCACUUAUGUAUUUUCAACUACAGACUCAUAAAAUAUAAAUUAAUGUUAGCUUCUUGCA